CGCAGAAAUGGUUCCUCCAAGUUAUCCAUUGGCACGAUCCUUCUCAUUGUGUUUGUCUCCCUUCUAUUGCUAUGUAUAUUGCAAUUGGUCUGGAUCGUUGAACAGAAGUUUGUUAGAAAGCAGAGCGGGUAACACUUUAUCUCCGACUAUGAAUUCUGGAGCAGUGUGCCUGGCAAUGUAAAGAUUGGUCUUUUGUAUGCUGCGAAAUGUGGAAAAACAGGACACCGAUUUGAUAAGAUCUAGCGGAACAUGACUGCUAUUUCUCUUCAAAAUGUCAGGAAGAUACAAGCAUAACUAUAAAUUUUUUUAUUUCUUUAAAGAAUGAAGCUUAGAUGUUAUACGAUGUAUCAUAACUUAGGACAGUUUACGCUUUAUAUACACCAAAGUGGUUUUAAUUGUAGAUGGUAAUUUAUGCAGUGCAUGGAAUGUUUAGUAUUUACUGUUUUGCUAAC